rnacentral:rRNA from 1 species
AUUGAACGCUGGCGGCAGGCCUAACACAUGCAAGUCGAACGGUAACAGGAAGAAGCUUGCUUCUUUGCUGACGAGUGGCGGACGGGUGAGUAAUGUCUGGGAAACUGCCUGAUGGAGGGGGAUAACUACUGGAAACGGUAGCUAAUACCGCAUAACGUCGCAAGACCAAAGAGGGGGACCUUCGGGCCUCUUGCCAUCGGAUUUGCCCAGAUGGGAUUAGCUAGUAGGUGGGGUAACGGCUCACCUAGUCGACGAUCCCUAGCUGGUCUGAGAGGAUGACCAGCCACACUGGAACUGAGACACGGUCCAGACUCCUACGGGAGGCAGCAGUGGGGAAUAUUGCACAAUGGGCGCAAGCCUGAUGCAGCCAUGCCGCGUGUAUGAAGAAGGCCUUCGGGUUGUAAAGUACUUUCAGCGGGGAGGAAGGGAGUAAAGUUAAUACCUUUGCUCAUUGACGUUACCCGCAGAAGAAGCACCGGCUAACUCCAUG